UAGAUUUCCAAAUGAUUAAAAGAACAAAGCCGAGCACCGCUAUUAAUGAAACUGCAAAAAGAGCUAAUAGAGAAAGCACUAUUUUCUAUGAGGGGGCGUUUGAUUCAUAACCGAAAUCAGAAUAGGAAUGAAAAUCAGAAUAGCUUGGAAUCGGAUCGCAAUGGCCAAAUCCUCCGAAGUGUUUGGUUCGUGAUUGGAAUCGAAAUCAG
rnacentral:lncRNA from 1 species